rnacentral:rRNA from 1 species
GACGAACGCUGGCGGCGUGCUUAACACAUGCAAGUCGAACGGAAAGGCCCUGCUUUUGUGGGGUGCUCGAGUGGCGAACGGGUGAGUAACACGUGAGUAACCUGCCCUUGACUUUGGGAUAACUUCAGGAAACUGGGUCUAAUACCGGAUCGGAGCUCCUGCUGUAUGGUGGGGGUUGGAUAGUUUAGGCGGUUGGGGUUGGACUCGCGGCUUAUCAGCUUGUUGGUGGGGUAGUGGCUUACCACGGCCUUGACCGGUAGCCGGCCUGAGAGGGUGGCCGGCCACAUUGGGACUGAGGUACGGCCCAGACUCCUACGGUAGGCAACGGUGGGGAAUAUUACACAGUGGGGGGGAGCCUAGUGCAGCAACGCCGCGUGCGGGAUGACGGCCUGCGGGUUGUAAACCGCUUUCGCCUGUGACGAAGCGUGAAUGACGGUAAUGGGUGAAGAAGCACCGGCUAACUACGUG